UCACGACGUGGGAAGGUCACAGAAAUGUUGAAAGACAUCAGAUUGGGCAUACGCUUCACCCGUGCAACUUCGUCAUGUGCUCCACGGCUUUACGGCUGUGCCACUAUGUGUGGAAACGUCGUAGCGGAUGAAUGUGAAUUAUGGAUCUCCAAGUGGCGUCGCCCGCGUCAUUUUCAAGAUUUUACCCGUUUUGAAGGUACGUAGUGAAUGUGCGAGGCAUUCACGUUCCUACUACGUGGUUAUCCAUGCGUUUCCCGU